GGUGGUUCUCAGGUGAUGCACCCCAGAAUAGGGCUCUCUCCUCUCUGGUUCUGGGGUGCAUCACCCAAGAACUGCC
rfam:Myotis lucifugus cont2.4223, whole genome shotgun sequence.